AAUGAACGUUGGCGGCGUGGAUUAGGCAUGCAAGUCGCGCGAGAAGUCAUUUAGCUUGCUAAAAGACGGACAGCGGCGGAAGGGAGAGUAACGCGUGGUUAUGUACCCUCGAGACCGGGAUAGUGUCGGGAAACUGGCAGUAAUACCGGAUAACAUCUUCGGACCAAAUGGUGUGAUUCCGCUCGAGGACCGGACCGCGUACUAUUAGCUAGUUGGAGGGGUAAUGGCCCACCAAGGCUUAGAUGGUUACCGGGUGUGAGAGCAUGGCCCGGCUCACUGGGACUGAGACACUGCCCAGACAUCUACGGAUGGCUGCAGUCGAGAAUCUUCGGCAAUGGACGAAAGUCUGACCGAGCGACGCCGCGUGCGGGAUGAAGGCCUUCGGGUUGUAAACCGCUGUCAGUUAGGAGGAAAUCCAUGAGGGUUCUCUCUCAUGGUUGACCGAUUUUCAGAGGAAGGACGGGCUAAGUUCGUGCCAGCAGCCGCCGUAAUAC
rnacentral:rRNA from 1 species